UGUAUAAGGAAGUAGAGGAAGAAAUGGACGUUAUGGGUAGAAGACAAAAACAUCGGAGGUAGUAUCAGGAAGUAGAGGAAGAAAUGGACCUUACAGGUAGAAGACAAAAACAUCGGAGCAGAGACCAUGGUGGAGAGUGUUGUAUCAAGCCUGG